UACGGGGGGAGCAAGCGUUGUUCGGAUUUACUGGGCGUAAAGGCGCGUAGGCGGCCUCCGCAAGUCGACUGUGAAUCUCCGGCUUAACCGGAACGGUCAGCCGAUACUGCGGGCUAGAGUGCAGAAGGGCAACUGGAAUUCUCGGUGUAGCGGUGAAUGCGCAGAUAUCGGAAGAACACCUAUGGCGAAGGCAGCUCUCUGGACGUACUGACGCUGAGACGCGAAGCGUGGGAGCGAACAGG
rnacentral:rRNA from 1 species